CUCUGGAAAGCUCCAGGGGAAAUUUGAGGCAAAACCCAGCUUCUCUGAGACGUAACUCAGGGAGGAUCCGGCUCAAUCCUACAGAGGCGACCCCAAGGAAGGACCUGCCCAGGGUCACUUGGAGAGCUGGGCGGGAGGAGGGAGAAACCUCCCCGGUUCAGAGUGACAAAGCCCCUCUUGCCCCAGGGAUGGCUGAGAUCCAAGUCCUCAAAAACACGCCGCCGUCUGGAGGGUGUGAGAGCCAGGUCCGUCCUCAGCAUGGAGGCUGCAGUGCACACUGUUCCGUGCCAGGUGCUGGCUGACCCUGCCCUGGGGGAGGUGAUGGACAGGCACAGAGGGGGAGCCCCGCAAACAAGGGGCCCUGUUACAGCAGAGGGGGAGAGCGCCUGAUAGAACGCCAAGUGCCGUGGCCGGGCUGCAGAGAGGCCUGCGGGGCUUGUAGACAAGACACCAUGGAGAAGCCGGAGCUCCCAUGGGCCUUGCAGGUCUCACCAAGCAAGAGCGGAGAAGACACAGGCUGGACAAAGGAAGGUGGAUGGGACAGCCAGCCGUGCAGCAGCCUCACAGGACACAGCUACCAGACAGAGAGUACCGGCUGACACUCAUUCCUUCAGCACCAGGAAAUGCCACAGCAGAAGGGGGCCUUCGAGAUGGGCCAGCCCCACUUCUGCAGCAUGGUUGCUGGGAGCCUGCACAGGCCAGGCGUUUCUCUACAGGUCCAAUUGCUCUUCAGAACUCAAAAUCCCAUCUCUGCAGGUCUCAGCCAAUCCUGCUCCUGCCUGUUUUUAUUUCCUGCCCAGAGCAAGUACAGAACCGGGGACCAUCGAUGGGUGAGAAAUCACUGUGCCUCCAAGCCGUAUUUUUCACAGUAACAAGUCAUUACUUCUGUGCCUGGAGUCAUUUCUCAGGAUCUUAAUGCAUUCAUUUAUCAAUCAAUACUUAAUUGAUGUUUAUAAAGCAUGUUCAAAAUCAGAGGUGAGAGCAGCUCACCAGGUACCGACUUCGUGUCUGGAGUCACCUUGUUAAGGAGCAACCCUUGGCACGGGUGCCAUGUCUGCGCCCUCGGGAGCUCUGGGUGGGUGCACUGGGGUCCUCACAGCCCUUCCCACCACUGC
rnacentral:lncRNA from 1 species